UCUGUGUCGCACGCUGUCGGUUCGCCGCUCGCGGUGUUUAACUGACAUGCUCGUGAGACGUCCUACCGGUGGGCUUAGCUCCUUCGGGGGCGGUCCAACUAAUAUCCCAUCGCGGUGCUCUUUAUUGAGUGUCGAGGUGGGCCGGUACGUUUACUUUGAACAAAUUAGAGUGCUUAAAGCAGGCUAUCAUUUGCCUGAAUAUUCUGUGCAUGGAAUAAUGGAAUAGGACCUCGGUUCUAUUUUGUUGGUUUUAAGAAACCCGAGGUAAUGAUUAAUAGGGACAGAUGGGGGCAUUCGUAUUGCGACGUUAGAGGUGAAAUUCUUGGAUCGUCGCAAGACGGACAGAAGCGAAAGCAUUUGCCAAAAAUGUUUUCAUUAAUCAAGAACGAAAGUUAGAGGUUCGAAGGCGAUCAGAUACCGCCCUAGUUCUAACCAUAAACGAUGCCAGCUAGCGAUCCGCCGAAGUUCCUCCGAUGACUCGGCGGGCAGCUUCCGGGAAACCAAAGCUUUUGGGUUCCGGGGGAAGUAUGGUUGCAAAGCUGAAACUUAAAGGAAUUGACGGAAGGGCACCACCAGGAGUGGAGCCUGCGGCUUAAUUUGACUCAACACGGGAAACCUCACCAGGCCCGGACACCGGAAGGAUUGACAGAUUGAGAGCUCUUUCUUGAUUCGGUGGGUGGUGGUGCAUGGCCGUUCUUAGUUGGUGGAGCGAUUUGUCUGGUUAAUUCCGAUAACGAACGAGACUCUAGCCUGCUAAAUAGGCGUACCUUAUGGUAUCUUGAAGGCCCCCGGCUUCGGUCGGUGGGUUUUUACUACCAACGUACAAAUAAAUCUUCUUAGAGGGACAGGCGGCUUCUAGCCGCACGAGAUUGAGCAAUAACAGGUCUGUGAUGCCCUUAGAUAUUCUGGGCCGCACGCGCGCUACACUGAAGGAAUCAGCGUGUCUUCCCAUGCCGAAAGGCCCGGGUAACCCGCUGAACCUCCUUCGUGCUAGGGAUUGGGGCUUGCAAUUAUUCCCCAUGAACGAGGAAUUCCCAGUAAGCGCGAGUCAUAAGCUCGCGUUGAUUACGUCCCUGCCCUUUGUACACACCGCCCGUCGCUACUACCGAUUGAAUGAUUUAGUGAGGUCUUCGGACUGGUGCGCGGCA
rnacentral:rRNA from 1 species